rnacentral:rRNA from 1 species
CAGUAGCGUAUAUUAAAGUUGUUGCAGUUAAAAAGCUCGUAGUUGGAUUUGUGGUGUUCUCUUUUACUUGGUUUUUACAUCAUUCGGCACCAUGUGUUGGAUUGAUUGUAUUAACCUAAGACACCAUCCUUGACAAGUUAUAAAUUUAUUUCAAAUUUAUAUACAUGUCAUCUUUUACUUUGAAAAAAUUGGAGUGAUUCAAGCAGGCAAAACAUUAGUAGAUUUUCUACUUUUUUAUACUUUGCUUCUGCACAUGUUAGCAUGGAAUAAUGCAAGAGGACUUGGGUUUUCUCUUUCAUUGGUUUCAGGAAUCCGAGUAAUGAUUGAUAGAGACAGUUGGGGGUGCUCGUACUCGACGGCCAGAGGUGAAAUUCUUGGAUUCGUUGAAGACGAACAACUGCGAAAGCAUUCACCAAGGAUGUCUUCUUUAA